AUGAGGCUGUCCAUGUCCAGGGCCCCAAGCUGUCUCCAGGCUUCUGUGUCCCAUGAGGAAAGGUGCAGAGAAGAGAGUGUGGUGCUGCGGGCUUGUGCCCACAGGCAGUCAGCAGAGGUGGAGGUCCUGUUCCUGGAUGGCAGGCCGCCCUUCCAGCCCCUGGGACACCUGACCUUGCAGGCUGCCAACCACAGCCUCCUGCUGGCUGCAUACGGCUGCCAGGGUUGCCUGCUGGACCAUGUGGAGGCCAGGAUUGCAGCAGUUGGCUCCCAGGUGCGAGCCUGGCUGGAAAAGAAGGCUCAUGGCUUGGGGGCCUCUGUGAGAAGGUUCCAGCACCUGGUACAGCCGGCAGGCACCCUGGAUGGCGUGGCAGGCCUCCUCCUUCGGCUGUCCCAGGCAGGGCUGGAGGCUGUGCAGGUAAGUGUUUGGGCCAUCACCACCUUGCGGGGCCAGAGCCAGGGCAGGCAGGCACUGACCCAGCACCUGCCGCUUUACCUGGAACGGCUGCAGGUGGGGCUGGAGCAGCUGUGGAAUGAGCUGGAAUGUGAGUGUGGGAGGGAGGGCUCAACCCUGCACCAAAAUCCAGGCCCAGUCUGGGGCCCUAAGCCCUCACAUUGGCCUGUGGCAUUGUUUCAAUCAGAAUGGUGGCCUUGCUUCCCGCCAGCCUGCAGCUCAGCUGUGUUGAGACCCCUGCCUUACUUAUUACAGACCUAUAGUCUCGGGGGUUUUUUGUUUUUGUUUUUUUUUUUUAACACAGAGUCUCGCUCUGUUGCCCAAGCUGCACUGCUGUAG
rnacentral:lncRNA from 13 species